rnacentral:rRNA from 1 species
GCGUGAGAAUCUGCACUCAGGAUGGGGACAACAGCGGGAAACUGCUGCUAAUACCCAAUGUGCCGAAAGGUGAAAGAUUUAUCGCCUGAGAAUGAGCUCGCGGCCGAUUAGUUAGUUGGUGGGGUAAAGGCCUACCAAGACGGCGAUCGGUAGCUGGUCUGAGAGGAUGAGCAGCCACACUGGGACUGAGACACGGCCCAGACUCCUACGGGAGGCAGCAGUGGGGAAUUUUCCGCAAUGGGCGAAAGCCUGACGGAGCAAGACCGCGUGGGGGAGGAAGGCUCUUGGGUUGUAAACCCCUUUUCUCAAGGAAGAACAAAAUGACGGUACUUGAGGAAUCAGCCUCGGCUAACUCCGUGCCAGCAGCCGCGGUAAUACGGAGGAGGCAAGCGUUAUCCGGAAUUAUUGGGCGUAAAGCGUCCGCAGGUGGUGGGGCAAGUCGGCGGUUAAAGACUGGGGCUUAACUCCAGAAAGGCCGUGGAAACUGCACCACUAGAGGGCAGUAGGGGUAGAGGGAAUUCCCGGUGUAGCGGUGAAAUGCGUAGAGAUCGGGAAGAACACCAGUGGCGAAAGCGCUCUACUGGACUGCAACUGACACUCAGGGACGAAAGCUAGGGGAGCGAAUGGGA